rnacentral:lncRNA from 1 species
AAAUAAGAAAAUACAACAAAAAUUUCUAAAAUGAAGUCAGUAUAAAUUGUUGUUUUGCUUCUCUGUGGGAUAUUAUCACUCAUAAUCUUUUUAACAUUUAACAUAGUACAUUAAAAUGAAAUGGUUUCAGGUCAUACUGAUAAACCCAAGUAGUCCACAUUAAAAUUGUUUCUUUCUAGCAGAUGAGUGACUUACAGAAAAUGACACCACUGUAAUGUGAGACAAGUUGGAAACAGAAAAAAUGGAGGAUUUCAAAUAACUACUCACCUUUUGAAGCCGUGUCUUCAUUUGUCUUUACUUCUUAACAAAAUUUUUACAUACCUGCAAAAUGUUUUCUUGCCUUGUUCUGAUGACAUCAAGCUAUGGGUCCAGCCUGAUGAGAAUUUUCCUUGAACUGCUCUGCUAUCUGCCAAGAAUCCCUAGUGUGGGUCCUCUUCUGCUUCUCCAUCAGUACUUUGGAAGCUGUGUGUAUGUACUGUUAAGAUUUUUGCAGACUGAGGAAUAUACACAAGAGAAGAAAAACAGUUUAAAAUCUUAGAAGACAUGACUGAAAUAUCACGAGAUUUUAAAGGACAGGACUCGGGCAAAAAGUACAGG